AGAAUGAAAAUGCAGAAAUUUAUGUUGUGUGCUACUACUGCCUAAGAUGUCCAAUGCACAACCACUUUUUAUACACGUUUUUUUUUUUGCAUAUUCAUCAGCCUCAUUCUUUAACUAUAUAUGGUAAUAGCCACAGAUAUCUCGUACUUGGAAGAAACUUUCUGAUUUUUGUUUUUUAAAGCAAUCAUCGACAUCUAUAUACUCUUACUUCUUAUUUUUUGGAAGAAACAUUCUGAAUUCUGUUUUUUAAGGCAAUCAUCAACAUCUAUAUCUGUUUUUCAGGAGAGACUUGGUGAAAUUCCUGAAGAUUUGGGAUCUAACCGAGCCGGACAACCUUUGGUUAAUUAGUGAAACUCAGGAGAGCAGCAAAACAGAUCAAGUGGAGCGAUAUUUAGAAGCAAAAUGAUUUAUAUGUGUACUUAAAAGGAAUUUGUCUAUGCCCAAUAAGUAGAGUAAUUUUGGUUAUAACUGUUGUCAGUUAUUGCUUUAUAAUUGCACUGGAAGGAAACAACAUUCUAAUUUGAUUUUAUAGGGAAUUAGAGAUUUAUCUCUGUCAUCAAGCUUAUCACUUUUUAGGGAGUACUUAAAUUCGUCCUCAUGAUGCAGGUUCGAGGUAGUGAGUGUUAUUAUUAAGUCAUGCAACCAACUGAAAAUCACUUUCUUGGAGGUUUGUGUCUUAUUUUACUUAAUUUACUUCUCAAGAUUUUCUAACAAAUCUGCUUCUUUUGGCUAUGUUACUUUUGUUCUAUUAUAUAAUUCCAGCUGACACCUAUUUUGAUGAGGGUAUUGUUAAAGCUGUGUACCUGCCAUUUAUUGCCAUAUUAAGUUGCUGGAGCACCGAUAGUGGUUCUCUUUAUAUGUCUUUGACUUUGGGACUUGAUUUCCUAAUGUGGCCCGAUCGACUCUGCACCUACCAUUUUAAGCUUUUCUAACUUCCCAUUGUAUUAUCAUAGUGAUCCUUAUCCCGCUUGCUUUCUGUCCUACAGACUGCUAUCUUGAUAAACGUUUUCUUGAUAUUGCAGGCUCAAGACAUUACUGAUUUAGGUUCUUUAAAAGAGGCAACAAAGAUUUUCAUUCCAGGUGGGUCAUCACUGUACUCCGCACGUACAAUAAAAAUAAAAGAAGAUGAAGGUUUCAGGACAUAUUAUUUUCAUGAGUUCAGCAGAGAUGAACAACAUGUCGCUCUUGUGGCUGCUGUUAGUGGCGGGUUGGUAUUUUGUUGUACUAAGAUGUGGUAUUUUAUGCUUUGAGUUGAAGUCAUAAUGAGGAAUAUAAUACUCUAUCCACAACGGUAUGACAUUAUUCUAACAAAAGAUCCUUUAUAACAGUGAUGUAAGUUCUGUCACCGCCAUCACUUGAAAAAAUUAGUGGCUCAUUGCAAAAUUUAAUCAUAAAUCAUUACAAUAAUUGGAAAGGUGGAUGUUUUUCUUCUUAUCCUAAAACAUUACGUGCCUCUUGAUUUCGAAUGCAGAGAGUAUGCAUCUAGAAAAUGUUUACAGUUCUAGCUUCCUUCUAGACUUCUAGUCACUUACAUAAUAAGAUGUACUCUUGAUUUCACUGAAUAAGGCAUUGCAUUUAUAAUCAAUGUAACUGCAGCCAUUGCAAAAGCACAUGCUUCUUGAAUCAUAAUGAAGACUGAAAGGAUUCAUUUUGUUAAUUUCGACAAUAUGAUAAUGUUUAUGCUUGUUUACUAAUGGUGUAGGUAGUUGUUGCUGGAGCGACUGCCCCAGAGUUCAAGUGGGAUGAUGAUUGUGUGAAACUUCGUAGUUCAGCAUUGUCUCUGACUCUGCUGUAGUGUUACUUUGACAAUUGAGGUUUAGCCUUGUCAAGUAGUGUUUCAAUAUUGUGUCUCCAUUUUGGUUGGAUAAAUUACAUUAUGUACGUUGAAGAUUCUUUUUCUUACUGGAGAAUAUUUGUAAAAGGUAAACAUCAAUGUUCUGGUACUAAAACAAAUAUUUAUUAGUUGGGUUUGAUUAAGUACGUUAAUUUUCGUUAAUUAGGAUUUGUUAUGUAUAGUACUCUUAGUUUAAUUAGUUUUGGAAAUUAUGAUACAGAU